rnacentral:tRNA from 1 species
GCCGAAAUAGCUCAGUUGGGAGAGUGCGUUAGAUUGAAGAUCUGAAGGUCCCCGGCUCAAUCCCGGGUUUCGGCA